rnacentral:tRNA from 1 species
GCGGAUGCGGGCGGGGACUCCGGCGCGGGGCCGGACUCCGACUCCGGCUCGGACCCGGACUCCGGCUCGGACCCGGACUCCGGCGC